GUCAGGGAGCGAACAAGCCAAAAAAGAGUGAGCCGGCGGCGCCAUGUGCGCGGCCGGCCAAC
rfam:Pantoea vagans C9-1, complete genome.